rnacentral:snRNA from 1 species
AUUCUUACCUGGCAGAGGAGACACCAUGAUCAAGCAGGUGGUAUUCCCUGAGCAAGGCUCAUCCUUUGCACUUCGGGUGCGCUGUCCCCUGUGAUUUCCCCAAAUGUGGGAAACUCAACUGCAUAAUUUGUGGUAGUGGGGUUGUUUUUU